CUACGUGCCAGCAGCCGCGGUAAUACGUAGGUGGCAAGCGUUGUCCGGAAUUAUUGGGCGUAAAGCGCGCGCAGGCGGAUUGGUCAGUCUGUCUUAAAAGUUCGGGGCUUAACCCCGUGAUGGGAUGGAAACUGCCAAUCUAGAGUAUCGGAGAGGAAAGUGGAAUUCCUAGUGUAGCGGUGAAAUGCGUAGAUAUUAGGAGGAACACCAGUGGCGAAGGCGACUUUCUGGACGAAAACUGACGCUGAGGCGCGAAAGCCAGGGGAGCGAACGGGAUUAGAUACCCCGGUAGUCCUGGCCGUAAACGAUGGGUACUAGGUGUAGGAGGUAUCGACCCCUUCUGUGCCGGAGUUAACGCAAUAAGUACCCCGCCUGGGGAGUACGACCGCAAGGUUGAGACUCAAAGGAAUUGACGGGGGCCCGCACAAGCGGAGGAACAUGUGGUUUAAUUCGAUGCAACGCGAAGAACCUUACCUACUCUUGACAUCCAGAGAACAUUC
rnacentral:rRNA from 1 species